rnacentral:rRNA from 1 species
UGGGGAAUAUUGCACAAUGGGCGCAAGCCUGAUGCAGCCAUGCCGCGUGCAGGAAGAAGGCCUUCGGGUUGUAAACUGCUUUUGUACGGAACGAAACGGCUCUGGUUAAUACCUGGGGCUAAUGACGGUACCGUAAGAAUAAGCACCGGCUAACUACGUGCCAGCAGCCGCGGUAAUACGUAGGGUGCAAGCGUUAAUCGGAAUUACUGGGCGUAAAGCGUGCGCAGGCGGUUGUGUAAGACAGGCGUGAAAUCCCCGGGCUCAACCUGGGAAUCGCGCUUGUGACUGCACGGCUGGAGUGCGGCAGAGGGGGAUGGAAUUCCGCGUGUAGCAGUGAAAUGCGUAGAUAUAUGGAAGAACACCAGUGGCGAAAGCGGCUCUCUGGUCUGUAACUGACGCU